GAUGAAGAACGCAGCGAAAUGCGAUAAGUAAUGUGAAUUGCAGAAUUCAGUGAAUCAUCGAAUCUUUGAACGCACCUUGCACCCUUUGGCAUUCCGAAGGGUAUGCUCGUUUGAGUGUCAUUGUACUCUCACACUCCCAAUUGCUUUGGAUUGGGAGCGGUGGACUUGGGUGUUGCUGCUUGACUGAGGCUCACCUGAAAUAUGUUAGUGCACCUCUUGAUUGGACAUAGUACGGCGUGAUAAGUGUCUUCGCCGGCACCUCACUAGAGGGUGGCUGACCGGGAGCUCUGUGCUUCAAACCGUCUUCGGACAACAACUGACAACUUGACCUCAAAUCGAGUAGGACCACCCGCUGAACUUAAGCAUAUCAAUAAGCGGAGGA
rnacentral:misc_RNA from 1 species